GGAGCCGUGCCUGAAACAAAGGGCCACUUUGAUAGAGUGAAUAAUGGGAGUUAAAGUCUCCCCGACUCCU
rnacentral:tRNA from 1 species